rnacentral:lncRNA from 1 species
AAAUUUUAUAUAAAAUUAUAUAAAAUAAAAAUAUAUAAAAUAAAAUUAUAUAUAAAUAAAAAUUAUUUAUAUAUAUCCCCUCUUUUUAUAUAUAUACAUACAAAAUAUGUACAUAUAUAUGUACAUAUACACACACAUAUAUGUAUACAUAUAUACGCACCUACAAGGACGGACUUGGUACAAAGAGACAGGUAUGGUUAGAGAGCUGGAGAAGAUAACUACUCAAAGAGAAAGAGGAGGUGGGGAGGUAACAUCGUGAAUAAGAGAAAAGUGUUAAAAUAUGUAUUCAAUGACAGUUAUUGAAUAUAAAUAUGAAUAAUGGGUCAAUAUUCAAUGACUGUUAAAAACCAGAAGGAAUGGUACUGGAAGUGCUAGUGGAAAAAAAUAAAUUUAAAAUUUAAAAACCAGAAAGAAGACUUUUCCAAGUGGGGAAACUACUGUGAAGGGCAUAGGCACCACUAUGAGGUUUUGCAGUGAGGGAGGGAAAGAGCCUGGCCUCGACUCUGAUUACAGCAUGGGCAAGUGCGACUGUGUAGCCAAGGAACGAGGUGGGGGUAAGUGACGGAAAAAUACUAGGAGGAAACAUCAGGGAUAAGGGCAGAUUCUGGCUAAUUUCCACCUAAUAGGGUGCUUGCUGAAGGCAGGCUAGCAGGAUCAGACAUCACUUGGAGAGUGGUGGAGGAUGGGGAACCCAAUCAGAUAUCAAGGGUGAUCAGAUAUUAAAGGUAGGGGGUUCUGGUUAAAUCAGCUUAGCAGGAUUUUUGCUAGAAUUGGACAAUGUAGAGGAAAUGGAAAUCCCAAAAUCAGACCUAGUUGAAAAGUAAUUCAGGGUUCCUGAGUAGAGUUCAUUCAAGGAAAGAAUCUUUGCCGGGGAGAAGAAAGGUUGUGAAGGAUGGGGUGUUUGUGUGAAGAUAGAAAUCAGCCAAGAUAGAUCAUGAAGCAACUUAGAAGAAUAGUACAAUGCACAAGUAAAUUAAUUCACCAUUCUUCAUUUUGUUAAAGAGUAAAGACCUGGCUCACACAAGUACAAAGUGUGCAUGUGGAGAUGUUGCAUCUUUGACCUUCCAGGACAUCUCGUGCAGGCUUACGAUGACAGGAAGGACAAGUGUGGCCUGCCCUGCUCAGACCUUCGUAGGCUCUGCAGAUCACAGAGUGCAUGUGUCUCCAGAUCAGUGAGCACUCUGGAGUUGCAGAGGGUCUGCAAAUAUUCCAUGCUGUUCAUCAUAUAAACCUGGGGACAAUGCCAUCACAAGAGCACUGCUAGCAUAGUAAGAAAGUAUACCCCAAAAACCAUGAGAUGCAGGUGUUGUGUAACCAGAAGAGGUAAUUAAGUUGGAGCUUCAGAAUGAAGUAGCUGGGCCAGAAGAGGCUUGAUCAGCUGCAACUUGAAGCUCCCUGCCCCCUGGCAGAGCCUCACCUUGGAUAGACAAGAUACCUCCAGUCUCAGUACUGGGACACUGGCAAAGCCAGACUCAAUGACCAUCAUUCAGCCUCUCAUCUCCUGGUAACAUUUUCUGGAAAUACAUUUUUUAAAUUAUUUGCACGGUGUAACUUCUAUAAGAUCGAUGUGUCAGAGUGCCGACUUUUACUUAGAUUCUAUGUGACUCUUUCAACAAAUUCAUUCUUUCAGCAAAUAUGCAUUGAAUACCUAGCAUGCGCUGGGUCUUGCUCUAGGUGCUGAGGAUACUGUGGCCUCCCAGUCAGGCAGUGUGACAGGGAGAACCACGACUGUGCGUAGGUUAUUCUCCUCUGACCUCACAACCUUUUUGAUGUACAUGUGGUCAUCUCCAUUCCGCAAUGCAGCCACAGGCUGGGAGGGUGGAGCCUGAUAUAAGCCAGGCCCAUUGACUCCAAACCCAGGUCCUCCUGCAUCCUCACAGGCUUCUUUCUGAUUCUGCAUCCUCCUUUCUAGAUCAACCCAGAACGCCAUGACCGCAGGCUGAAUCACUUCAGGGUCUGCAGUGACAUCACUCUGUACAAGGCUAAAACGUGGGGCUUAGGAGAUGAUCACCACAAGUAGCAUCCCAGCGGAUGAGCCCAUCUGUGGAUCUAAUGCCUUAAGUGUGCACAGCCCAGAGAAAUAAAAUACUACUUUAAAACGAAGUUUCACUUUUCUCAUUUCUGGUCAAGUCCACUGAUUGAAAUCCUUGUGUGGUAAAGCAAUGUGAGAAAUCAGAUAAAGAUGGUG